UUACGACUUUCAUUCCCAAAUUUGUCCAUCCCUAACCUACCGCCGCACAUUCCUUUUUCCCAUCACUCUCUUCUCUUUUGCUCUGCCGUGACCAGUGACCAGUCCCGCCUCACAUCUCGCCUCCGCUAGUGAUCAGUCCGCUGUGAAACCGGCGACGCUCUCUGAUUCUCUCCAUCUCCAGCUCCAAAGAAACCGUCGGGUCUAGCCAGCUCCAAAGAAGCCCAGCUCUUCCAUUCUCAUUCUCUCAUCUUUUCUGCUGCUCCGCCAGUGAUAUUCAGCCAUAAUAGUAUCAACUCCAUCAAUUGGUGUACGUGAUUUGGUGAGGGCGCACCUCAAGGAAGACCAAGCUGUGGUGGUCUACAGUCUGGGGCAACCUCUGGUGAUACAAGAUGUUUUAGCGGAUCCCCCAAAGAAAAUGGAGGUCCGUAUCCAGAUCCUCUGCACUUCAAUUUGCCACACCGAUCUUGGAGCUUGGCUGGGCACGGUAUGAGACAAACCAUCCUAUAACGACAACUUUGCUUCGCUGAAUUGAUUCACAGAUAGAUUUGUGAUUGCUUAAAUGGUAAAUUGAAUUGAAUUGAAUUGACUCUUGGGUAUUGGCCGCCAUCUGAUCUGACAUGUACGUUUCUAUCAUCAAUCCUGGGAAUCAAAAAAGAAUGAAGCUCAAAGAGUGUAUAGUCGAAUUCUAGGACAUGAAGCUUCAGGGUAAGGUUAAAAUUUCCCCUGUUAAAUUACUUUGCUCUUUUUGUCCUUCUUCCUGCUACUGUAAAUAUUGUUGAUAUAAGGUCGUCGUCCUCCAAGCCAAGGUAAUAAUACACAUAGCUACGCGAUUUUUCUUGUCUUUCGUACGUGUUCAGCUUUAUGGAUUUGUUGUCCAUAACCUGUUCGAUAAAAUGUCAACCUUCUUUCCUUUGGUACUGAUAUUAAUUUACUCAAUAAUAUAUACACUAAUAGAAAUUUAGUGAAAAGAAACUCAUUUUCUAGUAUUGAUACUACACUAAUUUGUAGCUUUGACAAUAACACAAGAAGUAAAUCCCUAUUUAGAAGCCAGUAUUCUCAUUCUACUGGCUACUUUGGCAUGGAGAUCAUUUUGAUUUUGUGUAACAAUGAAUGUUUACUGCUAUGUUCUACUGUAGCUUGAAAUAACUCAUAUAGUCGUCAAUUUAAUCAAUCUAGGAUGAGUAAACGAAUUGUGUCAAUAUAUAUACUCACAUAAGACUCUGUUGCUGAUAAGUGUAUGGUUCCUUGUGAACUCGAAGGUGAUAAGUUGAGCUGAACUUGUAAUUUUUUUUAAUGUGCAAGUAUUAUGAUCAUUGCUUUAUAAGUUGGUAGAUACACAUGUUCCGUUGUUUUUUACUGUAUUUCAAAUUUUGUUAUCUUCUGAUUAAUCUAUGAAAAAAUGCAAUCUCCUUGUUGGAAUAUGAUUAUGGUUAUGUUGUUGGUUUAGUGACAGAACAAGUGAAGGACUUAGAUUAAGUUGUUCUGUCAUCGAAAUAUCUCAUCUUAGUUUCUUGAACAUUUUGGGUUUAACUAUUUUGUCUUUACACCAAAACAGAAAGCUGUAAUUCUAUUUGAAUACCUUAGUUAAUGAGACAGAAGAAGUGCACUUUCUCCACAAUGAAAUAUCUUUUCUAGUGUUUUAUUAGUAUGAAUUCCUUGCAAGUAGUGUCUAAUCAGUCUAACCUAUAUCCAAUCUGGGAAAAUAAGGAGCUUUAGUUUGGGACGUAAAUGCUAAAGUCUCAUUAUAGUGAUGGAAUGGAAAGUACGAGUAAUAGCUUCAUAUGUGACUACAUUAGUAGCCAGUUUAAUAAGACCUUAACACUUGUCAGUUAGGCUCUUAUCCUGACGAUCAGCUGAUUUCAAAAGUAGACUGCCAAAGCAACAAUUUGACCUUCUACUUAAGCAAGGGGACAAACUUUUGAACUCUGGACUGACGUGAAAGACUUCCACAAAUUCUCAGGUCUCACAUUGAAAAGAGAAAGCCAUCCACGUGGUUUUCUGAACAUAAUGAAUCUAUUAUCUUCUUUAAACGUUAACUAAACUCUUCUGUGAUAGCUGCAGGAAGAUAAAAGAAGAAUAGCUGAGAGUUCAUUGCUGACAACAUGGGAAAAAAAAUGGCAAUGCCACUCUUAUUCACUCUUUUUGUGAGCUAUAGAUUAUUUAUCUCUGAAAGCAACCUUAAAAUCACCUGAUCGCAGAAAUAUUUUGCUUGGAUAUGGUUCAUAGGUUACGUCAUAGUAUAAGGACAUUUCAGAAUUGCCUUUUCUGUAUUAGAAGUAUUCCAGCUGAGAAAUAAAAGAUGGGUAGAAAAUUUCUAUUUACCUCCUUGUUUUAUGUGAUGUAUCUCAGUACCAAAGAUAGCAUAAAGAGGCAAGAAUCCUUAUCUUACCCUUGAAGGAGGCCCUGCUGAAUCUUCGUACAGUAUCUACUUGUCAAAUCAACCUUCAUUUUUUUUAGGUCCCUUCUAAUCUAGACAAUCAUUUUUUUUAGGUCCCUUCUAAUCUAGACAAUUUCUGGAUCUAUCCCUGAUGCAUGGGAUGUUAGGUUCCCUCUAUUUAUUCCGGGCUGGAAAAUUCUACACUUUUUAUCACAUUCCUAGCUGACAGACAAGUAGAACUUGUAAGUACUUGAUUACUGCAAUAAGUCCAAGUGAGCAAUUGAUUAGACCGUAUGAUUUGCAACAAACAAUUCAAGAUGCACUUGGUGUACCAAUUGCUUGGCCUUGUCAUUUGGUGGAACCAAUUGAAGAUUGAUGGGGUAUUCGUGGUUAUGCCGAAAGGCUCUCAUUUCAUUGGAAAAUUUGGAAGCUACUGCAAGUUCUUUCUACUUGUUAGGGAUGAGAAUCUUUUAAUUUGUGCACAAGAGAAUCUUUCAAGUUUGUAUUUGUUAGGGAUUUGCUAUGUUAGUACUUGUUACUAGCUUUUAAUUCAAUAAAUUAUAUUUAACUA